CCUACGGGUGGCUGCAGUGGGGAAUAUUGGGCAAUGGGCGCAAGCCUGACCCAGCGACGCCGCGUGGGUGAUGAAGGCCUUCGGGUCGUAAAGCCCUGUCGGGUGGAAAGAACGAGGCGGGUGCAAAUAGCACUUGUCUGUGACGGUACCACCGAAGGAAGCACCGGCCAAUUCCGUGCCAGCAGCCGCGGUAAGACGGAAGGUGCAAGCGUUGCUCGGAAUCACUGGGCGUAAAGGGUGCGUAGGCGGCUUUCUUAGUCUGGUGUGAAAGCCCC
rnacentral:rRNA from 1 species